GGGGGAGGGGGAGGGUGGGAGGGGAGAGAUGAGAAGAGGGAAUGGCAAACAGACCAAAAGAGGAGCCAAGGAACAAGUGAUCAAUGUCGCGUCAAGAGAGCAGGAGAGCUCCGGAAAACCAAGCAAGCGCAAAGCCGAAUGGACAGUGAUAACCAUUGAAUCGCAUAACCUACUGAAGAGAAGACUCCAGAGAAACAGGUCUCUGCUUGAGCUCCUGCCCGACUCCCCACAAUGACACAACAGGACUUGGAAGUAUAAGCUAAUGGGAGACAUUUUGCUCCCCCAAGGAGUUUUGUUCUGUGUUUCAUCAUAGCACCAGAAAGCAAACCAGGAUGCACAAAAGUCCAGGGAGUGGGCAUUUUGCAGUUCCCCAAAACAGUGCCUCACAGGUGACAGCAUUUUUUCCUUCUUGUGAACUGUUGCUUAACUUAAGAUCAUUGUGACACCACUUAGGGUGACACUGGCAUUUCUGGCAACAGAAAGAGAUGAAAUGUUUACCUUCUCCAAGAACCAAAGUUCCGUACUCAAAUUCCUCAAGCUUCAUCUGUGCCUAAGAUCCUGGAAGGGAAGUAACAUAGAGAUGACUAAAUAUCCUGCCAUCGAUGGAUAUAGAAUAAACGUGGGAAGAUGGACUCAACGGCUAAUAGCAGCUAAGGGAAGGAUAGGAGGAGGGAUUCUACUGGUAGAUACAAGGGCCAUCAGCAAACCUUGUCUAAAUACAGAGGAGCACACUACCUUCAAUAAAUCACAUGGGGUUGGUGAAAAGACCUUUGCUAUUUCCAAAAUUAUUACCAAGCAUUUGCAACAAAGACCACUCUGAGCCAGGGUUUAAAGAGUGUGGUAGCUGUUCUUGGUUGUCAACCUGACUGACCGUUUCCAGAAUUAACUGAAAGCCAAGCAGCUGGAUACACCAGAGAGAGAAACAUUUUUCUUAAUUAAAUAACUUUAAGUUGGAAGCCCAAGUUUUAAUCUGGAUCUUUUGAGGUGGAAAUCCACCUUUAAUGUGAGCCACAUUUUCUGAAGGACACAGAAGAAGGAAGCGUGCUCUUUGCCUGCUUGCUCUCCCUCUGUCUAGCAAGUCCAUUCCUUCUCUGGUUGUGAAAGCUACUUCUUCAGGAUUCUGGCGUAUACUGAAGACCAGCUGAUGCCUGGCCUUGUGGACUAAACAACUACUAGAUUCUCAGAACUUCCAUUGGUUGAUAGCCAUUAUUGAACGAGUUGAACCACAAUAUAGAUGGUUUUAAGAACCCGUGCACGCUGUGGGUGUGGACAAAUCUCAAACCUGGCUGGC
ensembl:lncRNA